rnacentral:rRNA from 1 species
GACGAACGCUGGCGGCGUGCCUAAUACAUGCAAGUCGAACGAGUGGCGGACGGGUGAGUAACCCGUGGGAACCUACCCAUCAGUGGGGGAUAACGCUUGGAAACAGGUGCUAAUACCGCAUACUGUUGGCUGGACCCUCGGUGCAUUAGCUAGUUGGUGAGGUAACGGCUUACCAAGGCCACGAUCCAUAGCUGACCUGAGAGGAUGACCAGCCACACUGGAACUGAGACACGGCCCAGACUCCUACGGGAGGCAGCAGUGGGGAAUAUUGCACAAUGGGCGCAAGCCUGAUGCAGCCAUGCCGCGUGUAUGAAGAAGGCCUUCGGGUUGUAAAGUACUUUCAGCGGGGAGGCGUUACCCGCAGAAGAAGCACCGGCUAACUCCGUGCCAGCAGCCGCGGUAAUAC